UCCUCAUCCGGCGUAGUGCUGUGGAAUCCCCCUUCCCUCCAUGCUGAGAAGACUCACACAACCAUGUUCAACGUAUAAUAUUAAUAUAUAUUCGAAUUUCAUUACAGCUACACGGAACAGUAUUUGAAGCAAAGGCAAAUAAAACAAACAAGGCGGAACAACAAAGAGAAUAAUAACGGAGUAGGGACAAUUAUAUAUGGUAGACCGUCUCCAACCUUCAUCAAAAAUCAAAUCCCGAACAACCGUUUUUCUAUUUCUUUCAUGGACCGACUCCAACCUCGAUCAAGAAUCAACCUCGUGAUACAACUCCGACGAGAAAAAAAAACAGGCAAGAUCGUUCAGCACGAUCUUCCGACCGACCGUCUCCAACCUCGAUCCAAAAUCAACUCCUCGACUCAGAAAAAUCCACGUUGUAACCUCUAGUAAAAAAAAAUUGACGUUCCUUUUUCAACUCCUAUUUAACAGGAGGAGCAAUUUUUUGAAUUUCCCCCCCUGGAGUUGCCAUUUCCUAUCUCCGAUAUAUCGCCUCGGGAUAUAUCGAUAACCCCCCCUAACAUUGCUGGCACAAACGAUAUCCAAAACGUAACA